rnacentral:rRNA from 1 species
AAAACUUUCAACAACGGAUCUCUUGGUUCUCGCAUCGAUGUAGAACGCAGCGAAAUGCGAUACGUAAUGUGAAUUGCAGAAUUCCGUGAAUCAUCGGAUCUUUGAACGCACAUUGCGCCCCUUGGUAUUCCAGGGGGGCAUGCCUGUUUUGAGCGUCAU